UGGCGGACGGGUGAGUAACGCGUAAAGAACUUGCCCUUUAGACUGGGAUAACAGAGGGAAACUUCUGAUAAUACUGGAUAAGUUAGUAUAUCGCAUGAUAUGCAAAUGAAAGCUACGGCACUAAAGGAGAGCUUUGCGUCCUAUUAGCUAGUUGGUAAGGUAAGAGCUUACCAAGGCGAUGAUAGGUAGCCGGCCUGAGAGGGUGGACGGCCACAAGGGGACUGAGAUACGGCCCAAACUCCUACGGGAGGGCAGCAGCC
rnacentral:rRNA from 1 species